AUUGAACACUGGCGGAAUGCUUUACACAUGCAAGUCGAACGGUAGAGGGGCAACCCUUGAGAGUGGCGAACGGGUGAGUAAUGUAUCGGAACAUGCCCAGUCGUGGGGGAUAACGUAGCGAAAGUUACGCUAAUACCGCAUACGAUCUAUGGAUGAAAGCGGGGGAUCGCAAGACCUCGCGCGAUUGGAGUGGCCGAUAUCAGAUUAGGUAGUUGGUGGGGUAAAGGCCUACCAAGCCGACGAUCUGUAGCUGGUCUGAGAGGACGACCAGCCACGCUGGGAAUGAGACACGGCCCAGACUCCUACGGGAGGCAGCAGUGGGGAAUGUUGGACAAUGGGCGCAAGCCUGAUCCAGCCAUUCCGCGUGCAGGAAGAAGGCCUUCGGGUUGUAAACUGCUUUUGUACGGAACGAAACGCGCUGAGCUAAUACCUCGGCGUAAUGACGGUACCGUAAGAAUAAGCACCGGCUAACUACGUGCCAGCCGCCGCCGUAA
rnacentral:rRNA from 1 species